rnacentral:rRNA from 1 species
GACGAACGCUGGCGGCGUGCUUAACACAUGCAAGUCGAACGGUGAAGCGCCUUCCUUUUUGGUGGGUGUGGAUGAGUGGCGAACGGGUGAGUAACACGUGAGUAACCUGCCCCCUUCUUCUGGAUAACCGCAUGAAAGUGUGGCUAAUACGGGAUAUUCUGGGUCUGUCGCAUGAUGGGUCUGGGAAAGAUAUUGUUUCGGUGGGGGAUGGGCUCGCGGCCUAUCAGCUUGUUGGUGGGGUGAUGGCCUACCAAGGCGGUGACGGGUAGCCGGCCUGAGAGGGUGGACGGUCACACUGGGACUGAGACACGGCCCAGACUCCUACGGGAGGCAGCAGUGGGCAAUAUUGCACAAUGGGCGCAAGCCUGAUGCAGCCAUGCCGCGUGUAUGAAGAAGGCCUUCGGGUUGUAAAGUACUUUCAGCGGGGAGGAAGGGAGUAAAGUUAAUACCUUUGCUCAUUGACGUUACCCGCAGAAGAAGCACCGGCUAACUCCGUG